rnacentral:lncRNA from 1 species
CACAUGGUCCAGCCUAACUGGAUGGGCAGAGAAAUAUGAAUUCCUGCCAGGUGGAAGAGGAUAACCAGGGCUUUACAGACCCGGCCCUAGACAUCUUGCUAACCAUCUCCAUUCAUCCCAGUGUGCAUUGCGUAUCUGCAUUGUGCAACAACCAACCUCCCCCACUGGCAGAAAUACCUGCUCCACCGUAAAGAGCAACGUUUUCCUAGCAUCAAGACAACUCGUGAAAGAUAGCAUUCCUUCUUGGUCUUGUAAGGGGCUAUGAUGACACUUAGAUCUGGUUUGUGUAAAUUGUCAGUAAAACACCAUUUAAUAUACAGCCUUCAGUCUCUCAAAAAAACUUAUAUAACUGAUCCUUGACUUCUAAUGUGUGGAGCAGUUCUCAGAACUUUCUGAGAUGCUGUUCUUUGUUUAUAAUUCUCAAUUUGGCUUGAAUACAAUUUUCCAUUUCUUUCUUAGAUCUACUGAUUAAUUUUUUGUUGACAGUUUUUUGUCAGUUUACUUGUUAAAAAAAAAGAACUGUUAAACAUUUGAAUGCCAAACAUUCUUAUGGAUAAUCUAUAUAAUACCAAUAUUAUAUCAAAUAUAUUCAAAAUAUAUAAUACUAGUAUAAAAUAAAAUCGAAAUUGCUCCAAAAGGAAAAUGAUUAAUUUAUUUAUAAUACAUAGGUAGGUAACAAUUCUUUAAGAUGUAAGCAUAUAUAUGUAUCUUUUUCUCAGUGAGCAUCUUAGCUUUCUGAGUGUUAUCAAAGUGCCUUUUUAAGGUAACUUGCCUUUAUCCAAAUACCCAUUUCUGCAAACUCACAGCAAAACAAUAUGCCAUCCAUCUGCAGUAUAUUCCCUUUCUCCUCUCUCUUCCAGGAACACUUACCACUCAAGCCACAAUAUGUCAUCUAGAUCUGGCUUUCAGUGUUCCAUGAAAAUUUAUCUAUUUUGUAUCUUAUAUCUUCAAACAUUACUCCUUGUAACAUAUGGGGGGAAGGUGGUUAAAACCCAAAAAUCUACUGUCAUGGUAAGAAUGCCAGGGAGGCUCAUAUGAAAGGCAUUGCUAUUUAGUACCUUAGUAAACUCUAUUUCUGCUUCUUAAAUUGCCUGAUGUAAUUAGCUUUCUACUCUCCCAGAAAGAAAGAUCCACUUUGGUCUUUUUUGUUUUGUUUUGCUGUUUUUUCAUUUUAUAUUUUUCAUUUUACCAUUUGUUUUUUCAUCUUUAAAGUUUUAUUGAAGGAUAGUUGACUUACAAUGUUGUGAUAAUUUUUGCUGUACAAUGAGGUGAUUCAUUUAUACAUGUACACAUAUUCAUUCUCUUUCAGAUUCUUUUCCCACAAAGGUUAUCACAAAAUAUGGGUAGAGUUCUCUGUGCUAUACAGCAGAUCCCUGUUGGCCAGUCAUUCUAACAAUGUGCAAGAUCCACUUUGAAAUGUGUAUCCCAAGAACCAUAUUCCCAAGCCAAUGGCCAAAGCCAAAUCUAUAGCCAUAUUAUCAACUAUGGUUCUUUUUGUGAAGACUGUAUCAAAUAUGGGUUCUUGGAUCUAAGACAUUUCUUUCUCUGCUAUUGUUUUCAUUUUAACUAUUAACUGAAUAAAAGAAAAUAAAGUUCCACCUAAAUUA